AACGCUUCUCGGCCUUUUGGCUAAGAUCAAAGUGUAGCAUCUGUUCUUAAAAGUCGCUCGUUCCAAUUUUAUCUCCUUCCAGGCACAGUUUCUUGGUAGAUUCUUGCGCCACUGAGUGAUUUAUGCCAAUAUACCAUCU
rnacentral:snRNA from 1 species